rnacentral:rRNA from 1 species
UACAGAGGUCUCAAGCGUUGUUCGGAUUCAUUGGGCGUAAAGAGCGUGUAGGCGGUCCGGUAAGUCGGCUGUGAAAGUCCAGGGCUCAACCCUGGGAUGCCGGUCGAUACUGCCGUGACUAGAGUUCGGUAGGGGAGUGUGGAAUUCCUGGUGGAGCGGUGAAAUGCGCAGAUAUCAGGAGGAACACCCGUAGCGAAGGCGGCACUCUGGGCCGAUACUGACACUGAGGAGCGAAAGCGUGGGGAGCGAACAGG